GAUGAACGCUGGCGGCGUGCCUAAUACAUGCAAGUCGAGCGAACAGACGAGGUGCUUGCUCCUCUGACGUUAGCGGCGGACGGGUGAGUAACACGUGGAUAACGUACCUAUAAGACUGGGAUAACUUCGGGAAACCGGAGCUAAUACCGGAUAAUCUAUUUAACAGCAUGGUACAAUAGUGUAACACUGUUUUGCUGUCACUUCUAGAGGGAUCCGCGCCGCAUUAGCUUGUUGGUAAUGUAACGGUUUACCAAGGCAACGAUGCGUAGACAACCUGCGAGGGUGAUCGGAAACAGUGGGACUGAGACACAAACCAGACUCAAAAAGGGGGCACCAGUAGGGAAUCGGCGACAUUGGGCGAAAACAUGACAGAGCAACGACGCGCGCGUGAUGAAAGGCUUCGUAUCGAAAAACUGUGUUAUUAGGGAAGAACAGAUGUGUAAAUGACUAUGCACGACUUGACGGUACCUAAUCAGAAAGCCACGGCUAACUACGUG
rnacentral:rRNA from 1 species